GACGAACGCUGGCGGCGUGCUUAACACAUGCAAGUCGAACGAAGAGCGACGGAAGCUUGCUUCUAUCAAUCUUAGUGGCGAACGGGUGAGUAACGCGUAAUCAACCUGCCCUUCAGAGGGGGACAACAGUUGGAAACGACUGCUAAUACCGCAUACGAUCUAAUCUCGGCAUCGAGGAUGGAUUAAGGGUGGCCUCUACAUGUAAGCUAUCACUGAGGGUGGGGAUUGGGUCUGAUUAGCUAGUUGGAGGGGUAACGGCCCACCAAGGCGAUGAUCAGUAGCCGGUCUGAGGGGAUGAACGGCCACAUUGGGACUGGGACACGGCCCAGACUCCUACGGGAGGCAGCAGUGGGGGAUCUUCCGCAAUGGACGAAAGUCUGACGGAGCAACGCCGCGUGAGUGAUGACGGCCUUCGGGUUGUAAAGCUCUGUUAAUCGGGACGAAAGGCCUUCUUGCGAAUAGUGAGAAGGAUUGACGGUACCGGAAGAGAAAGCCACGGCUAACUACGUG
rnacentral:rRNA from 1 species